UCGAGAGAGAGAGAGGAAACCUUGGAUCUUCAAAAUUUUACAAAAUUAAAGGAGGAAAACGCUGAAUUAUCAGUGCAUGAGUUAGGAGAUUGAUUCCUUAAGUGUCUCUAACAUCAAUUUGACGCCUAACAAGCUAGGUGGAGGCUUGGGGAAGAUGCGGGUCGAACGGAUUGAGUAUGUGGAAAAAGAGCAUAACCGGAUGCAAGUCUCAUGCUCGCAGGAUGAACGGCUCGUGAAUUAGCGAUGCUAUGAAAUAGCAAAUAAGUGAAGACAAGGUGUGUUUGAACUUAGGAUGGGUGAAGAUCAAGCGACGAACAUGAACCGAACACACGUCAAAUGAAGCUUUCGCGUUAACUCUUAUUUUGUUUUGAUAGAAGUGAAUUAUGUAAACAAUUAGCCCUAUAUUUUGAAUACUUUAAACAUGUAAGAAUGUUA